UAGGUAGUAUGUGGACCAGGGUUAGGUAGGGGUAGGGGUAGGUAGUAUGUAGACCAGGGUUAGGUAGGGGUAGGUAGUAUGUGGACCAGGGUUAGGUAGGGGUAGGUAGUAUGUGGACCAGGGUUAGGUAGGGGUAGGUAGUAUGUGGACCAGGGUUAGGUAGGGGUAGGUAGUAUGUGGACCAGGGUUAGGUAGGGGUAGGUAGUAUGUGGACCAGGGUUAGGUAGGGGUAGGUAGUAUGUGGACCAGGGUUAGGUAGGUGUAGGUAGUAUGUGGACCAGGGUCAGGUAGGGGUAGGUAGUAUGUAGACCAGGGUUAGGUAGGGGGAGGUAGUAUGUAGACCAGGGUUAGGUAGGGGUAGGUAGUAUGUGGACCAGGGUUAGGUUGGGGUAGGUAGUAUGUGGACCAGGGUUAGGUAGGGGUAGGUAGUAUGUGGACCAGGGUUAGGUAGGGGUAGGUAGUAUGGGGACCAGGGUUAGGUAGGGGUAGGUAGUAUGUGGACCAGGGUUAGGUAGGGGUAGAUAGUAUGUGGACCAGGGUUAGGUAGGGGUAGGUAGUAUGUGGACCAGGGUUAGGUAGGGGUAGGGGUAGGUAGUAUGUGGACCAGGGUUAGGUAGGGGUAGGUAGUAUGUGGACCAGCGUUAGGUAGGGGUAGGGGUAGGUAGUAUGUAGACCAGGGUUAAGUAGGGGGAGGUAGUAUGUGGACCAGGGUUAGGUAGGGGUAGGUAGUAUGUAGACCAGGGUUAGGUAGGGGUAGGUAGUAUGUGGACCAGGGUUAGGUAGGGGUAGGUAGUAUGUGGACCAGGGUUAGGUAGGGGUAGGUAGUAUGUAGACCAGGGUUAGGUAGGGGUAGGUAGUAUGUGGACCAGGGUUAGGUAGGGGUAGGUAGUAUGUAGACCAGGGUUAGGUAGGGGUAGGUAGUAUGUGGACCAGGGUUAGGUAGGGGUAGGUAGUAUGUGGACCAGGGUUAGGUAGGGGUAGGUAGUAUGUAGACCAGGGUUAGGUAGGGGUAGGUAAUAUGUGGACCAGGGUUAGGUAGGGGUAGGGGUAGGUAGUAUGUGGACCAGGGUUAGGUAGGGGUAGGUAGUAUGUAGACCAGGGUUAGGUAGGGGUAGGUAGUAUGUAGACCAGGGUUAGGUAGGGGUAGGUAGUAUGUGGACCAGGGUUAGGUAGGGGUAGGGGUAGGUAGUAUGUGGACCAGGGUUAGGUAGGGGUAGAUAGUAUGUGGACCAGGGUUAGGUAGGGGUAGAUAGUAUGUGGACCAGGGUUAGGUAGGGGUAGGUAGUAUGUGGACCAGGGUUAGGUAGGGGUAGGUAAUAUGUGGACCAGGGUUAGGUAGGGGUAGGUAGUAUGUGGACCAGGGUUAGGUAGGGGUAGGUAGUAUGUGGACCAGGGUUAGGUAGGGGUAGGUAGUAUGUAGACCAGGGUUAGGUAGGG